rnacentral:rRNA from 1 species
CCCUGUUGAACUUGACUCUAGUCUGGCUCUGUGAAGAGACAUGAGAGGUGUAGCAUAAGUGGGAGGUUCUGCCGUCAGUGAAAUACCACUACUUUCAUCGUUUCUUUACUUAUUCGGUUAAGCGGAGAGCGAGCCUUGCGGCUCACGUUUCUGGCUUUAAGUCCUCGGUCUCGGACCUUGGGCGAUCCGCUCCGAAGACAGUGUCAGGCGGGGAGUUUGACUGGGGCGGCACAUCUGUUAAACGAUAACACAGGUGUCCUAAGGCAAGCUCAGCGAGGACAGAAACCUCGCAUAGAGCAAAAGGGCAAAAGCUCGCUUGAUUUUGAUUUUCAGUACGAAUACAGACCGCGAAAGCGUGGCCUAUCGAUCCUUUUGACUUUGAGGGUUUCAAGCAAGAGGUGUCAGAAAAGUUACCACAGGGAUAACUGGCUUGUGGCAGCCAAGCGUCCAUAGCGACGUUGCUUUUUGAUCCUUCGAUGUCGGCUCUUA